AGACUGAGAGUGGAGUCCAGUGGGUCGCCCUCUUGCGCUGCUGGAAAGAGGACUGCGCACGCUUUUGAACACCAACAGUCCUACAGGGCGGUGGAACAAACCCGCACGACAAAGACGUUAGGAAAGAGAGAAACUUACUGUCUAACAAGAACCAUCCAAUUUUCAAUGCGACUGCCAAAGCAAAACCAUAUGUAAGAACAUAAAACCUUACAAAGCGAAUGUUGUACAUGCUGCAGGUAUGCACAGGUAGAUAUGACCUUACAUGUUUUAAGCUUUGCUG
rnacentral:lncRNA from 1 species